CCUUAGCCACCAUACACACUGUGCCCUCCCCCUUCCAAUGUAAGAAUGACCAAUGUCCUCUUCUCUUCUCUCUAGGAGUUAUUUUGAGUCGUGGAGAGAGGUGGAAACAACACCGCAGAUUUACCCUGAUGACCCUAAGGAACUUUGGGAUGGGGAAGAGAAGCGUUGAAGAGCGAGUUCAAGAAGAAGCCCAAUGCCUGGUGGAGGAGCUCAGGAAAACAAAGGGUCAGCCCACUGAUCCCACCUUCAUCCUUAGCUG